CGGAUUGGUCUGGCCUCGAAGCGGUUCCUGGAAAUAGCCCUCCAUGAGAUCGUACCCUAAACCGACACAGGUGGACUGGUAGAGCAUACCAAGGCGCUUGAGAGAACUGCGUUGAAGGAACUCGGCAAAAUGCCUCCGUAACUUCGGGAGAAGGAGGCCCCCGUCUGCGGGCAACCGUGGGCGGGGGGCACAAACUAGGGGGGUGGCGACUGUUUACUAAAAACACAGGUCUCUGCGAAGCCCAAAGGCGACGUAUAGGGACUGACGCCUGCCCGGUGCUGGAAGGUUAAAGGGAGGGGUGCAAGCUCCGAACUGAA
rnacentral:rRNA from 1 species